UACGUAGGGUGCGAGCGUUGUCCGGAUUUAUUGGGCGUAAAGAGCUCGUAGGCGGUUUGUCGCGUCGGCCGUGAAAUCUCCACGCUUAACGUGGAGCGUGCGGUCGAUACGGGCAGACUUGAGUUCGGUAGGGGAGACUGGAAUUCCUGGUGUAGCGGUGAAAUGACGCAGAUAGUCAGGAGGAACACCGGUGGCGAAGGCGGGUCUCUGGGCCGAUACUGACGCUGGAGGAGCGAAAGCCGUGGGGAGCGAACCGG
rnacentral:rRNA from 1 species